GCCAGCAGCCAUAACACCCUGCAACUCACAACUGGUAACCCACUGUAGCUAAGCAGGUGUGAGCCUGGUCAGUACCUGGAUGGGAGACCUCUUGAGAAAAAACUAAGGUUGCUGCUGGAA
ensembl:rRNA 5S_rRNA 5S ribosomal RNA